rnacentral:misc_RNA from 1 species
GUAUAUAUUUUUUUGAAUAAUAUUUAACAAGUAAAAUCAACACUAAAUGCGUCAAGAUUACAAUUAAAUAAUACAAUGUCAAACAAUACAAUCGAGUUUAUGUGCUAUUGAAUAUAUUUCACUUCAACAGCUCAGUUGACAAUCUUCAUAGAAAGAUGAAAGAUUUGACUCCCUCACUUUGCUACAAAAAUUGCCAGAGCCAAACAGGCUCCGGGUAAAUAUUACAUUAAGUUCAAGUUUUACCCUGAACCAAUGUCAUAUUAAUAAAUAGAUUUGUCAAUGAUCCUUCCGCAGGUUCACCUACGGAAA